AACGCUAGCUACAGGCUUAACACAUGCAAGUCGAGGGGUAGCACAGAAGAAGCUUGCUUCUUUGGGUGACGACCGGCGCACGGGUGAGUAACGCGUAUCCGACCUACCCAUAACACGGGCACAGCCGCUCGAAAGAGUGAUUGAUUCCCGAUAUGUCAUUGGAGUAGAUUCAAUGAUGAAAGAUUCAUCGGUUAUGGAUGGGGAUGCGUAAGAUUAGGUAGUAGGCGGGGUAACGGCCCACCUAGCCGACGAUCUUUAGGGGUUCUGAGAGGAAGGUCCCCCACACUGGUACUGAGACACGGACCAGACUCCUACGGGAGGCAGCAGUGAGGAAUAUUGGUCAAUGGGCGGAAGCCUGAACCAGCCAAGUAGCGUGAAGGAUUACAGCCCUACGGGUUUUAAACUUCUUUUAUAUAAGAGUAAUGUGCACUACGUGUAGUGUAUUGCAAGUAUUAUAUGAAUAAGCAUCGGCUAACUCCGUGCCAGCAGCCGCGGUAAUACGGAGGAUGCGAGCGUUAUCCGGAUUUAUUGGGUUUAAAGGGAGCGUAGGCGGGAUAUUAAGUCAGUCGUCAAAGCCUGUGGCUCAACCACAGCCCGCGAUUGAUACUGGUAACCUUGAGUGCGGAUGAGGUGGAUGGAAUUCGUGGUGUAGCGGUGAAAUGCUUAGAUAUCACGAAGAACUCCGAUUG
rnacentral:rRNA from 1 species